AAUGAAGUGCCUGAAAAAGGAUUAUCAUGAUAGGAUAAAUAAUAUAAAUAAACUUUAUCUUCAUUA
rnacentral:tRNA from 1 species